CUUUUACACACAGGAGAGAGCAGCGUCAGGCUCCAUCACACAGAGUCAAUAUUUCCCCAAUGAAGAGUGUCAAGAUGUGCAACAAAUCUUCAGAUAAUUGUCAGCAAAAGAAAUAUGUGAAAAAAAGUGAAGGAACUCACCCACGAUUUUCACUCAAGGGCUGGUCCUGCAGGACUCCUGCUAACGAGCCAGUCGGACGGUCCCUGCAUGCACAAUCACUCUUGUUUCUACACAGCGGGAUGGAGGCCUACCUAUAAAAUUUACUAUAUAAUGUGUUACUCUAUUGGCCAUUAAUUAUGUCUUUCUUUUUUUC